GCCUCGUUGACUCAGUGGUUAGAGCACUGGUCUUUUAAACCAGGGGUCGAGAGUUCAAAUCUCUCACGGGAUU
rnacentral:tRNA from 1 species